AACCAACGGACAUUCGGAGUGUUUGCGUUUGCUGAUUGGAAAUGCUGACAUCCAGAAACCCCUCUGAUGCUGUCGGUGCUGAGCGGACACAGACUGUGUGUACUCCCUGUUCAACAAGGGAGCAAGCGUAGAAGCCAAAGACAAAUGGCACAGAACAGCUCUACACAGAAGGGUUGUGAGGAGAGUUGGCUGCGGUGACUUUUCACGAGGAGUGCAGCACAGUGCCAGCUUCCUGGUUCGGGAAGGUAAGGGGCGGAGCCAUGUCCACCUGGUGGCGGCGUCCGGACACAUCGGGAUACUGGGGUGGCUCCUACACACCGCCCAGUCAGUGUGGACCCUCCCCGUCAUCACAGACAACCAGGGCUACACGCCACUACA